AUGAAAAUGAUAUAAGCAUAUUUUAAAAGUCUAGAUUUUGAGAAUUCCUUACAUGUGAGCACUGUUGUCAGUCCCAGUUAGUAACCUUAGGUGUGCUGAAAGAGAAGUAAGUUUCAGACCAAGGGUGAAAUUUCUUGGUAGUCUGUAGGGCGAGUUAAUUGAAAGUAAAAAGAUGGGAGCUUCACUUGAUGGUUAUAAUUUAGUAGCAAGUUACAAAUAAUUGGGGCUGACACUGAAAGAAUAGCAGAAUUGAGUUUUAGCUUACCAUUAUAUUUGUUUUCUCUUACUAAAGGAAAAGUAAUUGGAAAAAAUGGCAAAGUUAUUCAAGAAAUAGUGGACAAAUCUGGUGUGGUUCGAGUGAGAAUUGAAGGGGACAAUGAAAAUAAAUUACCCAGAGAAGACGGUAUGGUUCCAUUUGUAUUUGUUGGCACUAAAGAAAGCAUUGGAAAUGUGCAGGUUCUUCUAGAGUAUCAUAUUGCCUAUCUAAAGGAAGUAGAACAGCUAAGAAUGGAACGCCUACAGAUUGAUGAACAGCUGCGACAGAUUGGUUCUAGGUCUUAUAGCGGAAGAGGCAGAGGUCGUCGGGGACCUAAUUACACCU
rnacentral:sRNA from 1 species